UUGGCCCACCAGCCAUAGACACACACUCACCUCCCAAACCCCGUCUUCCUCACCAGACGCGUGUUCGCAGUCGCCUCAAGCACUUAUGGAAGUUCUGGCCGCCGCCGCCGGCUCCUACUCGAGCAGUCAAAUCGCAUUUGCUGCUAAGGCUGCCCGAAACCCUAUGCACGCGUAUACAUCCUACCUAUAUCUUCAAUGGUUCAGACUCGGAAUCAAAGCAAGGCUGCCCGGAGAGAGAAACCAGAUCCAAGCGACGCCCGGCGAAGGCUGGCCGGAGGGAUUGGGUAGGCGCUGCGACCAGCGAAGGCCAGGAGAUUCAAACGACCCCGGAUUCAGCCAAGUAGUGUGAGCUCAUCCAGUUCUUUCACUCAGUUGAAGAUGCCCUUGAAGAAGAGAGUUCGAACAGAUGGGAAUCAUGAGCCACAUUUGGAAGAUUCAGGAAGUCUUGGUGUUCUGGUAUAGAGCCGGCCCCCGCCUACACAGCAGACAACUCAUAGGCUCCCUUGUCGACACAAGUCUUAGAAUGCAAGAUAUGAAGCGCGUGACGCGACCUCCUACCCGCAUGCAUAUACGGGUAACCCGACGGAUAAAAGUUUCACUUGGCGGGUGCGGGUAUGGAAUGGUAGUACCCGUCGGGUACUGACGUGGUGUUGCAAAAGGCAUAUGCCACGGGGUGGCUAAGAUCGGUGUUGGUGCAGCGCUCUGCAGAUUCGGCACCCGCAGGGAUUGCGCCGGAGCGCAGACACGUGAAGUACCCAGGUUUAGGGCCCUCCCGGAGGAGGUAAACCUUGUUUGAUGAAUUCACAAUCGAAUUCGAUGAAUAAGAAAUGAAUUCGUUGAAAAACAAUCGAAUUCGAUGAAUAAGAAUCGAAUUCGAGAAAGCCCCUGGUAAAGCUGAACCUCGCAGGUGCGAUACAUGCUGAGCCGAGGUGGCCGGCGGCGCCAAGCUCUGGGAAGGUGUGAAGAUGAGGAGGGAGGGAGGGGGUGCAGCGAGACCCGUGCACAGAAGAGUGAGGGGAAGCAGCGGUUUCUACUGGCAUAUUCUAGAUGUUGCUUGCUGCACGUAGUGUGAGACGAAUGGACUACUCGGGCUGCAGCGUUGACGAACAAGACGAGCAACUUGCUAUCUACUGGCACUGGCAGGCAGCCAUUCUCAAGCACGGCCAGGUCCCGCCGCGUGGCACAAGGGCCCGUCCCGCCGUCCCAUCCUUGUUGCACCACCUUCCUUCCCCUCCAAGGCUUGAAGUGGUACUACUACAGUAGUACUACUGCUCUGCUCGCGCCCAUGUUUCCAAACUCUUCCAUCACCGUCCAAAACAGCUUCGGCAGGGAGUGGAGAGCAUGCCCCGCCGCCAUCUCCCUUUGGGUCCUCCGCGUCACGCGAGCGAAGGACCUAAACCCUAAACCCUAAUGAGCCGCCCCGGCCCGACCUCCCCGACGCAAAUGCGCGCUCCGCCGGCCCCGCCGCUCCCUGCCGUGGUGGGCUGGGAGCUGGAGCGGAACAAGGCGUGGCUGCAGCAGCAUGCCAACCCACGCGUGCGGCAGCUCACGUUCCAAAUCACAUCCGAUCUGGUCUCUCUUUAUCCCAUUUUUUUCUUCACUUUUAAGCUGCAUGGUGUUCGUGUUCGACUGUAAAGCAAGUGAUUUUUCGACCUCAUCCUUUAGCUAAUUUGGAGAUUCUCCAAAAAAAUCACUUGUUUAGGGAUGAACCGUUUUCUCUCAGUUAAGUCAAUUUUUGUAAGCAAGUGAUUUUUUUUAUCUCCUCCAAAUCACCUACGCGAAAGUGUGAAGGUCAUCAAGUAUCUUUAGAUCCAAGAGCAACGUGGCAGCAUCCAGAAGCAACGGCAGACCAAAAGCAACAUGUUGUGUCUGUGGCUGUUCCAACUGGCUGCACCGCAUUGAAGGCUCCGACUGGCUGCCCUGCCACA